UAAGCACAGUGCCUCUUGCUCUUACCUCCUGAGCCACAAUAUGAGAAGCUUCUGGCACUCUGAUGUUCUGUCAGUUUUUAAUGCGAACUCUGGAAGUUCACGGACACGAUGCUGUACAAUCUGAAGAAGAUAAAUCACAGUUACUUCGAGCCAGCUGACAGCAGUUUAAGCUGCUGCAAUCAUCAACCACCAAGGGAGUUUCUUCUUUUAUCUUACUAAAUGCAAAAGUAUACUGGGAACUGGUAAUAUCACUGGACUAUCAGGAGCCCUGCUUUUACAUAAAUAUCAGCAAGUGAAAAGGACUCCCAGAUCUGGAAUAGCAUUACAGACAGGAAGAGGAAUGUCUAAGGGUUAUCGCAGUGGAUUUCCUAUCAUUACAGACUUCUCAGGGCCAUGGCAAAAUAUUUCUACUACUGAAUUGAAGAUUCUGAUACAACAUUAGAAGAUUACCUCAAAAAAUAUAACCUGGUUCAAAAAAAUUAUAAAUAAUUGAUCCAGCAGAGAGAAAACUUCAUGGGCUUUAUAAUUGUGAGUGUCUUGUUUAGGGGAGGGAAGAAUGAGAAAUCCUUCCUAUUCCUUUGGAUUUUGGAAAUAUUUACAUUGUCUUUCUUCUCUGGAAUUUCAUCCUAACUGAAAAGUGAGGAGUUAACGAUUGAUCUGGAGCUUGGGAAAAGCUGUCAAGCAGAGGACCACUGGGGACAGGGUGAACCCUUUAACCAUAUUGCCUGAGAAAGGCAGCACUUGGCAAUCUUUUUCUAGCAAUGAUAAUAUCAUAGGUAACCUAUUUGCUCUGGAAUCUAAACCAGAGCACCACCUCUAAACUACUUGCAUCUAAAAUGAAGAUAAACAUGUUAUGGGGAUCUCCCCUUUUACUUAUAGAUCUGAAUGGAACAUACGAUUUUUAAUGGACUUGGGCAAACUCCUCAUUCUUAGUAGCAUACCAUUCAAAUUACAACAAAAUUUAAACAAGUGUAGUGACUGCUUUUAUUCUGCCUGAAGCCAUCCAGUCCUAAAAUUUCAUCCAAAUCUCAUUGUUAAGCAGCAUACACUUUAUAUUUCUAUAGAAAGAAAAACAUUAUCAACAAUUACUGUUUUUUAACACCUUGCAGCUUUUAUGUAGUUUCUGCUAUAUAUAAGGAAGAAACACAUUAAGCACUGUGUGAAAGUAACAUCAACAAAAUUUAUAAAGUAUAGAAAGGUUGGAACAGAGAGGGCAGGAAAUCAGUUAAAUUGCAGAUUUAAAAAUUAAGACAUUCUUUAUUAAGGAGUAUGGAAAGGAUACAAAGGAGACAGAGUAUGUACCUGAAAUUUACUUUUUUUUUUUUUUUUUUUUUUUUUUUCCCCUGAAGACAGAAUUGCAGAGAAUACUUUGCUUAAAGUUGCAUAGAUCGUUAACAGAAAUAUUGAGAAAACAUGAUUUCCAUCUCAGUAUUACACACUGGCAUAAUAAUGCCUGUUAUAUUCUAGAUGUAGGCAAAUGUUUAUUCAGGCACUGGUAUGCACCAAAACAACAUCCAUUAACUAUAGAUAAAAAAGAGCGUGAGCAAAGACUGCUCUGUAGUAGACCCCAAGUCACAAGGCCUGCAGUACCACCUCGGACCCAUGCCACAGCCUUUCAAACAUGGGCUACAGGAUUUCACGGAGUGGGCUAUAACAUCCUAAAGGGUGACACAGACUUCAUGUAUGACAGUGAGGACAACCACAUGAGAAUAAUUUCAAGAACAGUUCCCACAUCAGAACUACAACACAAGAUCUGCUGGGUGACUCAAUUUUUCAUUUCUGGAGAAGAACUACUUUGGACUGCCAAGGCCAGCAUAUCUGGGUUUCCCAGACCCCAGCAUGGUAGUGCAUAUAAAUGGGAGCAAAGCAGCCCCUGCAGAAAGCUGCUCAGUGCCUCCCUGUGCUCCUCGGGGAGGUGGUGUGCAGCCCACAGCCGUCAGCCAUGCUGGGAUUGCAGCACACAGCUCACAGAAGGGUUGUCACCCCAGUCACUGCUGGUCUACACAGAGAAAGUUACAGACAGACAAAGCUGACAAGGGGGUGAAUGAGUACCAUGAUGUGUAGUUCAGAAAAUACAAAAGUACCUUUAUACAUGUUAUCUGCGUAGUUCU